CCCAGCCUACACACUAUCUCCCUCUAAGAACUGCUCUGGUUCCAGGGAGGACCUGGGCCCUCAGCCUCACAGACUCUCUCCUCCCCUCUCCCCCUCCCCAGCAACACUGCUAGGCAUCCCUGUCUUUCCUCCAGCCACAGAGGGAGAUGGGGUAAAGAUGGCGGUCUGCCUCAGGCCCACUGGGCCUCCAGGGUCCCACUUUCUGCCCACUCACCUGGCUCCGAGGGACCACUACUGAGGGGGAACAUCCAACCGGGCUAUCAGCCUAACUGGCCAUGAGCCCAGCCCAUCCCCAUGAAGCAUCCUGAUGAAACAAACAUCAGUGACGGCGCGAAGGAGAAAGAGCAUGACGUGGAGGCUCGCAGGACGCCACGCAGGCGGAAAAAGGCUCGGGGCUAAGGAACAGAAAACGGACUGGAGGAACCGCACUGCACACCAUCGCCUCAUUUAGUGCUCAGCCCAUAGGAGGGAAGUGCGCCAGCAUGGGAGGAGGCAAGAUUACCACCUCUAAGGAAGAAGAAACUGCUGGCCAAGUGGUAACAGUAACCCGUGAUCACACGUGAGUAUUUCCAGGCCCCACACUACACGCCGUGCCUCGAUGGAAAUUCAACUCAACCGGCCGAAUAACCCUGCGCAAGCCACUUUACCUCCCUAGGUCUCGUUUCCCUCUGGCCUCACAAUCACAAAGCUCCUUCCAGUUCUGAAUCAGCACGUAAGUGGAGGGCAUCAGCCUUGGCAGGCCCUGAUCAGGCCUGACUCAGCUCUUUGUUCUCCGUGGCCUUGGCAACAAACGGAAAUCAAAUUCUCACAGGCAGCAGGAACCAGCCUUAUCCUCUGGGUCAAUGCCCAUUUGUCAAACAUUUGGCAAAAGUUACAUUCAUAUUCGUGAACCCUCAACAUAGCUUCAUUCAUUGUUUGACACACAGAAUUUAUGACAUCUGUUAGAGGAAUGCGGCUCUGAAAACCCUCAAUGUCAAAAAGUAUACAUGAUGGAAAGAACACUUUUGUACAGUUCGACAUUUGUUAAUUUCUUUCCUAACCCCCGUCUCCAAUUCUAGAAAUGAUGGCUCCCCGAGCACCCCUAGUCUUUUUGUUUUGAUUGAAGAGUUCAGACUUCUUUUUCUG